rnacentral:rRNA from 1 species
CACACCGCCCGUCACACCAUGGGAGUCAGUUGCUCCAGAAGUCGCCGUGUCAACCGCAAGGGGACAGGCGCCCAAGGAGUGACUGGUAACUGGGGUG